UUUACAGUGACCUGACCCUAUGUUUAACUUCUCUGCAGUAACCCAACGAGGCCUGCUGCUGAUGGCUCGUGUCCACCGGGCGCCCGUCCCGCUGCUCGCCCCCAUGGUCGGACAACCAGGCUUCUGGUGGGUUGGAGGCGUGCCGCAAGAAAUCAGUAGGUGAUGUCUUGGCCUUGGCUCUGAUAAUUGUAUUAACAGGAACAACAUGAGUGCAUCUCCUGAUCAAUGGGAUAACCGCAUGGUUGAUCACUUGAAGAACUUUGACCUUAGCAUUCAACGCAGCAGUUCGGCGACAACGUCGGAGCUCUGGUACAUGUGUUGGAGGCUCUAACUUGGUCGCUCGACUUAACCAAGGCGACGAGGACUGAGUUCCAGGACGGCGUCCCCUCGUCUCGCGUUCCUCUUACAGCUUCC